UACGUAGGGGGCAAGCGUUGUCCGGAUUUAUUGGGCGUAAAGAGCGUGUAGGCGGCCAUACAGGUCAGCUGUGAAAACUCGAGGCUCAACCUCGAGACGUCGGUUGAAACCGUUUGGCUAGAGUCCGGAAGAGGAGAGUGGAAUUCCCGGUGUAGCGGUGAAAUGCGCAGAUAUUGGGAGGAACACCAGUGGCGAAGGCGGCUCACUGGACCGGUACUGACGCUGAAGCGCGAAAGCGUGGGGAGCAAACGGG
rnacentral:rRNA from 1 species